GGCUCGUUGGUCUAGGGGUAUGAUUCUUGCUUUGAGUGCCAGAGGUCCUGGAUUCAAAUCCUGGACGAGCCC
rnacentral:tRNA from 1 species